CUCGCAUUGGGUAAGAGCCGUAGAUAGAAGAGAAAGUUCAGUGUUCUCAAACGAUGGAUGGAGAGUGGUUGUCCGAGUGAGAAUCGCGCGCCAAAUGUUCCACUGCGUAGGCUGCAUAUACUGUAGGCUACAUCCUGGAAGCAACAUCGACACACUAUUCCUCAAAGAGAAUCGGAGAUGAAUAGAGUGACAAUCUGUGCUCUGUUUGAUCCCCAUGCAAAUACAUGGCACUUUGAUCCAGGAGGACGAAUUUGAAGUAGGCCAACAAGAUCUCAGCACUAGUCCAACGCUUUAGAUCUAAAUUGGGAGGAAAUUAAUUGAAGAUUUGUAUUUGACCAAAAUGUUUCACAAAUGUCAUACUAUAUCCUCCAUAUUGGUCAUUGGUUGCAUGGUUUUGUCUCAGUUUGAAUUUGGGACAUUAAAGCCAUAUGUAUGCAGCAACUGUUCAGUAGGCUGCAAUUAGGGUGUCAAUGUCAAUUAUAAACACACACGAAUAUAAGAGACCAUUUGUUUCACAGCAGGCUUGCUGGGAUGUAUGGUGUUUGACAGUAAAUGUAAUUGUUUAUUA